AUGUGGUUUAAUUCGAAGCAACGCGAAGAACCUUACCUAGACUUGACAUCUCCUGAAUUACUCUGUAAUGGAGGAAGCCACUUCGGUGGCAGGAAGACAGGUGGUGCAUGGUUGUCGUCAGCUCGUGUCGUGAGAUGUUGGGUUAAGUCCCGCAACGAGCGCAACCCUUAUUGUUAGUUGCUACCAUUUAGUUGAGCACUCUAGCGAGACUGCCCGGGUUAACCGGGAGGAAGGUGGGGAUGACGUCAAAUCAUCAUGCCGCUUAUGUCUAGGGCUACACACGUGCUACAAUGGUCGGUACAAUGAGAUGCAACCUCGCGAGAGUGAGCAAAACUAUAAAACCGAUCUCAGUUCGGAUUGUAGGCUGAAACUCGCCUACAUGAAGCUGGAGUUGCUAGUAAUCGCGAAUCAGAAUGUCGCGGUGAAUACGUUCCCGGGCCUUGUACACACCGCCCGUCACACCAUGAGAGU
rnacentral:rRNA from 1 species